rnacentral:misc_RNA from 1 species
AAAGAAAUAUUUGUAAUUUUGUAAUAAAUUUCAAAGAAACUUACUUUGAAAUUUUAUAAAUUUUGUAAGUUUUGUACAAAAAGGUUUUAGAGAAAUAAUUCCUGGUAGGUAUUAUAAAGGUUACUCAACACAUGAGCUUCUUAGUAUCUACUACAAAGAAAUUACAAAGGUUUUGUAGAGAGACAAAGGUUAGGCAGGAUGGGUGUCUUUCUUGGUAGAGGAUGACCUUCUUGUUCCUUCGUCGCCUCUAGUUUUGUAAGAGAGCUUGGAUGAAGGAUGGAGAAUUGCCAAACUAGAGAGGUUGUGUGAAUGAGAGAGAUGCCUCCUUGGUGGAGUAAGAGCCUCCUUAAAUAGAAGUAGCUGAUGGCAUAUUUUGUAAUUUUGGAGUCUCUGAACAAUGUUUGUUACUUGCUUUCUUCACGUGUGAAUAGUGCUUCUUAUCUCCUUCAUAUGUGAAUAGUAAAAGUGAACAGUAUAAAAGGUGACAGGUAAACA